rnacentral:tRNA from 1 species
GUGGGGUUGCUCAGUGGUUAGAGCACUGGCUGCCCUUGUAGAGGGCCUGGGUUCGAUUCUCAGCAUCCACA